UACGAAGGGGGCUAGCGUUGCUCGGAAUCACUGGGCGUAAAGGGUGCGUAGGCGGGUCUUUAAGUCAGGGGUGAAAUCCUGGAGCUCAACUCCAGAACUGCCUUUUGAUACUGAAGAUCUUGAGUUCGGGAGAGGUGAGUGGAACUGCGAGUGUAGAGGUGAAAUUCGUAGAUAUUCGCAAGAACACCAGUGGCGAAGGCGGCUCACUGGCUCGGUACUGACGCUGAGGAGCGAAAGCGUGGGGAG
rnacentral:rRNA from 1 species